CAAAAGCAUCACAGGUCUGUUUGCGUUGACAUUACAGAGAAGAGUUUCACAUUGACUUGUACUUUGUCAUCUCUCCUCUGUGUCUGAUCAUUUGGUGAUGAGUCCAGUCUGUGAACAUCAUGACAGACAUCAUGUUACUGAGUCUCCUCUUUAUUCCAAACACUUUGGCUGCUUGUCCUGAUCUUACAAACCUGUUGAUCACUGCACCAACAGAGAUGGAAGCUCUGAGUGGAUCUUGUUUACAAAUCCCAUGUAACUUUAGUGACUAUGGACUGACUGGGAGCAAUGGAUUUGACAGCACAAGACCUGUGUUUGGAGUGUGGAUUAAAAAUCAUUCCAAUGUUUUUACAUAUCCAAACAAUGAGAUCUUCAACAGCAGUAGGACAGUUAACAUCUAUCCAAUGAAUAUUACAGGAAGCCUGAAGGAGAAAAACUGCACCACUCUGUUUUCCAAUUUAACCACAACUUAUACAAACACAUACUACCUCAGAAUUGUAAACUGGCCGUUCAGAGCAACACCUUUUUGUGAUCCUCUUCAAAUAACAAUUAUAGGUAAGAAAGUUUUCUUUAAUUGCUGUAAAGAAUAAAGUAUAAUCAGUUGCAGCUUUUGUUGACACAACAAACAACAAGAAAUUAUGGUCAAAUGUAACAGACAUCAACACGUUUAAGUGUUUUAUGUCUAGUUGAAAAUUUGUCAAAUUAAGCUGGCUUAGGACAGUAAGUUAUCUUUUGGGAUCUUUAUUGUGAACAGUAACACUGGGAAUCAGUCAAAAAAAAAAAACUGUAGUAAAAGCAGUUUUUAACAAUGUAAAAUACAAACUGUCCUGCACACUGUUAACAAACACAGACAUAUUUACCAAAUACUACCCAAACCUCUCAUAGUUCAAUACCACCUUGUUCAGAAGACCUUAAGCUGCUUGCAAAGCCCUUAAACAUGAACAAGCCCCAGGCAAAACUAAGAAAAAAAAAGAGAGAGAGAACAAGUCCUGCAUUCAAAGAAAAAGUCACUGUUUAAAAGCAUAUUUAUGAUUUUUUAUGUUUAAAUAGUCUGGUUUCCAUUGGAACUUCACAAGUUACUUUUGCAUUAACACAAACUAACUUCCUGACACAAAUCUCUCUCUACAUCUCUUUCCCAACAUUUCCUGCACUUACAGGGGAUGUAAAAGGAAAAAUUCUGUCUGUUAGUGACUAAAAACUAAAAUAGGUUUUGGAUAUUUUUCACUUCUGCAUGU